rnacentral:lncRNA from 1 species
UGCCUGCCUGCCUGCCUGCCUCCGUGUGCCCGUCACGACUAUAAAUCGCAGGCUCUUAGGGCAGGCGAGGAGCGAUGCGCAGGCAGCAGAGUGGUGAUAACCGCAAAUCCCCCGUCCGGAGGCGAGCGGUGCCCGGAGGACAGGCCGGCAGCCGGGCCGGGAAAUUAAGCCCUGCCCAGCGGGCUGAUUGCCCCUGGCGCUCCUUUCGCCAAAAUCACGCGUGAAAACCUCUGGUCCCCUCCGCGCACCUCCCCGGGCCCCCCCUCCGCUGCCGCUGGCUGUGCAGGGCCGAGCGGGCGCCGCUUCACCCUCCCCGCCGUGCGGGGUUUCGAGCAGAAGGGGCGAGGGAGGGAUUUCUCGCCGGAGGGGAUAUGCGGAGUCACUCCGGYGUGGAGGGCCAGAGCGGAGCGGGGAGGACAGGGCAGGCGCCCGCGCAGGGCGCUGCACGCUGCGGGUCGUGAGUUUGCGGGUUCUCUGCAGCGAGUCCGGGGAGGAGGGGGGCUACAGGGACAGCUGGACACUGCGUUAGCCAGAAGUUCACCCGUGGCCCCCUCUGAGGCAACCCGACCCCCUUUGCCUCUUCUGAAAUGGGAAGACAACUUUGCUCUUGUUUCUCUUCUUUUUUCUUUUCUGUUCUUUUUUUUUUUUUUGGUGCGAAGAGGAUCUUUUCGCCCCGUUUUUGACAUUUUGGGGCCCUUUCUCCCUUGGUUUCAUCUCCUGUCCUGUUGUCGGAGGAAGGGGGAACUUCACCGGCUGCUCUGCCACUGCGGCAGCGGGGAGGGUGAAGAAUUUCGCAUUUUAACUAUCCGGCCUGACCAAAAAUCUGGAAAAUUACACCCGAAACACCUUGGAGUGCACUGCUGGGUGGGUCGGGAAGUGCCUGGAGGAAGGAACUGUGUUCUGUGCCGACCACAGUUUUUUUUUUUUUUUUUAAAGUAACGAGAAGGAUGGGGAAAGGACCCGAAACCACAAACUUUAAAAGAAAAACGCUGCUCACCUGUAACUAAAAAWAUUAUAUUAAAUUAAAAGUUCGACCCAGGUAUCUACCCCGGAAGGGUCUUCUAAUCACACAAAUUCUAGACUACUAAAAUAGAGUUUUGCAAUGGAAAGACUGACACUACGCGAACUAUACUGGCGUAACUUUGACAUAAACAUCAUUCUGAUAAACCCUCAAAGCAAUGCAGUGAGUCACUGCCCCGGCAAUUUAGAAAAGUGAAUGGACCAAAAUGCUUCCAGAGAUGAUGAUUAUUUAAAAUACUUGUUUUCUUCUAGGUGCGUAUUUUACUGAAGAGGUAUGCGGCCAAAAAGAGAGAGUUAGAAAUAAAAGGUGAACUGGUCAGAGAGGAUGAGAGGGG